rnacentral:rRNA from 1 species
UGGUCUUAGCUUGCUAAGGCCGAGUGGCGGACCGGCGCACGGGUGAGUAACACGUACUCCAACCUGCCGUCUACUCUUGGACAGCCUUCUGAAGGAAGAUUAAUACAAGAUGGCAUCAUGAGUCCGCAUGUUCACAUGAUUAAAGGUAUUCCGGUAGACGAUGGGGAUGCGUUCCAUUAGAUAGUAGGCGGGGUAACGGCCCACCUAGUCUUCGAUGGAUAGGGGUUCUGAGAGGAAGGUCCCCCACAUUGGAACUGAGACACGGUCCAAACUCCUACGGGAGGCAGCAGUGAGGAAUAUUGGUCAAUGGGCGAGAGCCUGAACCAGCCAAGUAGCGUGAAGGAUGACUGCCCUAUGGGUUGUAAACUUCUUUAUAAAGGAAUAAAGUCGGGUAUGCAUACCCGUUUGCAUGUACUUUAUGAAUAAGGAUCGGCUAACUCCGUG